rnacentral:rRNA from 1 species
UACAGAGGGUGCGAGCGUUGUCCGGAAUCACUGGGCGUAAAGGGCGCGUAGGCGGUCUGGUAAGCGUGUGGUGAAAGCUCGGGGCUCAACCCCGAGUCGGCCGUGCGAACUGCUGGACUGGAGCAUGUCAGAGGCAGGCGGAAUUCCGGGUGUAGCGGUGGAAUGCGUAGAGAUCCGGAAGAACACCGGUGGCGAAGGCGGCCUGCUGGGCAGUGGCUGACACUGAGGCGCGACAGCGUGGGGAGCAAACAGG